rnacentral:rRNA from 1 species
AUAUUGUAGCUUGCUAUGGUAUAACUUAGUGGCAGACGGGUGAGUAAUGUAUAGGAAUCUACCUAGUAGUACGGAAUAAUUGUUGGAAACGGCAACUAAUACCGUAUACGCCCUAUGGGGAAAAAUUUAUUGCUAUUAGAUGAGCCUAUAUUAGAUUAGCUAGUUGGUGGAGUAAUAGCCUACCAAGGCAAUGAUCUAUAGCUGAUCUGAGAGGAUGAUCAGCCACACUGGAACUGAGAUACGGUCCAGACUCCUACGGGAGGCAGCAGUGGGGAAUAUUGGACAAUGGGCGAAAGCCUGAUCCAGCCAUGCCGCAUGAGUGAAGAAGGCCUUUGGGUUGUAAAGCUCUUUUAGUGAGGAAGAUAAUGACGGUACUCACAGAAGAAGUCCUGGCUAACUCCGUGCCAGCAGCCGCGGUAAUACGGAGAGGGCUAGCGUUAUUCGGAAUUAUUGGGCGUAAAGGGCGCGUAGGCUGGUUAAUAAGUUAAAAGUGAAAUCCCGAGGCUUAACCUUGGAAUUGCUUUUAAAACUAUUAAUCUAGAGAUUGAAAGAGGAUAGAGGAAUUCCUGAUGUAGAGGUAAAAUUCGUAAAUAUUAGGAGGAACACCAGUGGCGAAGGCGUCUAUCUGGUUCAAAUCUGACGCUGAAGCGCGAAGGCGUGGGGAGCAAACAGGAUUAGAUACCCUGGUAGUCCACGCUGUAAACGAUGAAUGUUAAAUAUGGGAAGUUUACUUUCUGUAUUACAGCUAACGCGUUAAACAUUCCGCCUGGGGACUACGGUCGCAAGAUUAAAACUCAAAGGAAUUGACGGGG